GCAACCUACCUUCAUCUGGGGGAUAGCCCGGAGAAAUCCGGAUUAACACCGCUUAAAAUCACAGUAUAGCAUUAUACAAUGAUCAAAUAUUUAUAGGAUUAAGAUGGGCAUGCGUGUCAUUAGUUAGUUGGCGGGGUAACGGCCCACCAAGACAGCGAUGACUAGGGGAUCUGAGAGGAUGACCC
rnacentral:rRNA from 1 species